AUGGGGUUCGAAUUGGUGGAGGCAUGGGAUACUUUUCGGGUUAGCCUAUCAGAGGCGAGUUGCACCCAUGCAUCAUGCAUGCCACGUGAUGAGGCCGUUCCAGGCAUGGGGUCGGACAUGCACCUUGUGACUGGUCUGAAGGAGGUGGUGGACCCGGGAUCGGGAGAUGCCAAUGGCGCGCAGGAUAUGGAGGCGCUUUCGGUUGGCGGGGAUGCCAUUCAGGUUGUUGGUGAUGAUGGGGCCAUGCAUGUAGAUUCUGACGACGUAGAUGCUGCUGCGCAGCCGAGUGCGGAGCCGUGUACGCCAGCGCCUGUGGUAGGGGAUGCCCUGCGCGUCUGUGUGAAUGAGCUCAGGGAGCAGAUGUGCCUGUCCAUUGCACCGGUGCUCCCGCUGCCAGCGGAGCGCGUUGGAGCGGCAAAGGCGCAGAACCCGAGGAAGAAGAGGAUGCUUGAUGCUACCCCAAGAAGGAGUGCAAGAAUUUCUAAGAACGGAGCCUCAAAACCACAGCAAGUUCUGAUCCGCAAGUUAUGCCUUGCGCAUGAGGGAGAGGUUAUUUCGGACGAGGCCCUCCGGAUGUACGUUGAUCUGUUCUCACGGCCUCUCUCUGACGCUCAUAUCGCGGCGGUGCUGGCUCUCUUUGGUUGGGAGGCACCGGUAGAGCCGCUCCAUGUCUAG
rnacentral:rRNA from 1 species